UUGUGAGUGCGCUAGAGCAAGGGGGCCCUGGAGGUGGAGGAACCCAAGAAGGCUCCCUUGUGUGGUCACAGCCAUUUGUGAGAACAAGGGACACCACCAGUGAUGGCAAGGCUGCGAAGGCUCCCAAAAGGCCAUGAACAGAUGACCACUUAUGGCCUGUGUGACAUGGUUGCCAUCAGCCAGGACCUUCCUGACAGCCCCAGGCAGAUGCCACCCGCUGAUCUCCCUGCGGCCACCCCGGACUCCCGACAUCUCCCACCCGUGGCCCCAGCCCAGCCCCCACGGCUGUCCUGGAGGGACAUGAUCUUUCUUGAGGGAGGUUCAGCCCCCUUCCACGCAGCACCCCCAAUCCAGGGUAUGGCGAUAUGGACCCAAAUGCUCAGCCUAUACACAGGGGUCCCCUGGCGCCCAGCCUCGUACCUCCAUGGUGAUCACCUCCACCUGGACAUUGGUCGGGAGGGGCAGGUCAGGCUGGAAGCGCUUGGCCAGGGCCACGAGCAGAUGCAAGGUGGCCAGCAGGUCCUUGCUGAAGAUGGCUGGGAGGGGAGAUGGCACAGGUCAGAGCCAAGUGGCCACACAGAGGCCUCCUUGUUGUCACCCACCCUCUGAAGACCAAGGAGCUCUGCGUCCAGCCUUCUGGAGGGGAGAGGUCUGGAGACAUUCCUUCAGAACUCGAAACUGUCACCCUUUGCCCUCGUCACCCCACUCUGCUAAUGCAGCCCACGGGCACAAGCCACCUCGCGGACGGGACUUCAGACACAGAGACAGUCACUGCGGACAAUUGUGAGCAACUCAAUGCCCUACAGUGGGGCCCUGGCCGAAGAAGCUGCUGGAUUCAGAUGAGUGUGACUUAAUUCAGGGCAACGUUAUACACACUGGGCAUUGAAAGCGAGUCUUUAAACGUGGUGGUGAAGGCAGCGGCAUGAGACCCAACAAGAACUGGGCUUGAGCACGGCUCCAUCAUCACCCCCAGCCCUGGCUUCGGACCACGAUGUGCUCUGGGAGGAGCUUGGCAUUAAUCCACUCCAUCAGGACCUGCAGACGCCCAGGGACCUGGGCUGGUGGGGCUGACUGGUCCUGUGCCAGGGGCGGGUGCCGGGAAGCUGCCGUAACAGGUAUGUGAAAGUGGGGAGGUGGCCAUGGAACAGGAUAAGGGGAAGAAUCUCGAAGGGCCUCACUAGCCAAAGCCUAAACUGCCCCGAAGAGGCUGUCGGUGGGGACGUGGACCCUAAGCAGGUGUGUCUGGUGAGAGCUCAUAAGGACAGGAAGGACAUGACACUGAGAACACGGUGGAGGCCCCGUGACCAGGGAGGCAGAGGCUGCAGGGGCGCGUCUACAGGCCAAGGGACCCAAGGGUUGUCGGGGCCUCCUGACGCCGGGAGAGAGGCCUGGGAUGGGGUCCUCCUUGGAGCCUCCGGGAGGAACCCCCUGCCCACACCCCAACUUAGGACUUCUGGCCUCCAGGCUGAGACACAAUCACCGCCUCUUGCUUUAAGCUAUGGGGUUUAUUAUGGUGCCGAGUGGCGGCAGCCCCUGGACACCGGCACAGACUACGACCGUGGUGCACACCCCUGCUCCUCCUGCAGCUCUGCCCAGGCGCCCCACCCUGCCUGGGCUCCACAGGCCAGAGGGGCAGGAAGUGGAGCUCCGUGCCUUUAAGGGUGCAGCACCAGCUACUCCAGAGCAGGCAUUCGACAGACCUCCCAGGGACCCGCAGGGUACCCCCCCCGCCAGCCUGAGGUCAGAGAGGGGAGGGGUGCCCGCUAUCCCUGCCCCAAGAAGAUGAACAGACUGCCUCCCGGGAAAUCAGGAGAGACCACAGGAAGCUGCUGUACCUUCUGCAGUUCUUCAAAUUUGGGAUCCCCCCGGGACGUGGGCGGCAGUCUACCCACUUACUCGAGAAGAAGCAUGGCUCACACGAGCCAGGGGGCCGGGCACCGACGAGCCGAGGCAGAUCUCACCUGCGUCCGCCAGGCUCCCAGCCGUGGGCAGGACUCGGGGCCCACGCGCUGACUCUCUGAGCCCCGGGACCCUGGUCGGCAGCUUCCUGGGGUUUCAGACUCAGAACCCACACGUGUCUGGACUGAGAUGGGCCUGCAAGUUCAUCUCGUCCCAGUGAAUGUGGGGGAAACUGAGUCACCAUGUGAGGCCUGCCUUGCCCCGGUUCACAAAGUGCGACGCCUCUGUCUUCCCAUGACGCAGCUGGAGACUUUUCCUAGAUGUUCUGAAAACCUUCAAGUUCUCCAGGCCCGUAUCUCCUGACGAGGAGGGAUGGCUAACCCGCUGGGCACCGGCAGGCCCGGGACCAGCACUGGGGAGUGGGCAGGUGGGCGGUGGGUGCAGGGCUCUGGUGGGACACCCCCCCACCCCUUCCUGGAGCAGGUUUCCUGCCGCUCUAAAUCAUCCCGCGUUCCGGCUCUGCUGGCCAGGACUUCGAGUAUUUCUAAAUCAACUGUGAAACAAAAAAUAAAUAUUUUUUCAAAUAACUAAGCCCUACUGCUAGCAGCAGUUUUGCUCAUGACGCUUUCCAGCCUCAAAUCCUCUAUAAACAGAGCGCACCAGACCGCUAAGGAAGUCAGCCGGGCCCCAGGCUCUCGUGGGCUCCGGGCCUCUCGGCCAGGCCGCAGCGCCCUCCUGAAGCGCUGUCCUCACAGCAUCUCGAGACGGUUGCAUGCUGCUCUUUCACUUAAAUUAUUUCACCCUGGGACGCCUGGGAGGCUCAGCGGUUGAGGGUCUGCCUUCGGCUCACGGCGUGAUCCUGGGGA